rnacentral:rRNA from 1 species
GUUUGGUUAAGUUAGAAAGGGCGCACGGUGGAUGCCUUGACACUAGGAGUCGAUGAAGGACGGGACUAACGCCGAUAUGCUUCGGGGAGCUGUAAGUAAGCUUUGAUCCGAAGAUUUCCGAAUGGGGAAACCCACUAUACGUAAUGGUAUGGUAUCCUUAUCUGAAUACAUAGGGUAAGGAAGACAGACCCAGGAAACUGAAACAUCUAAGUACCUGGAGGAAGAGAAAGCAAAUGCGAUUUCCUGAGUAGCGGCGAGCGAAACGGAACAUAGCCCAAACCAAGAGGCUUGCCUCUUGGGGUUGUAGGACAUUCUAUACGGAGUUACAAAGGAACGAGGUAGACGAAGCGACCUGGAAAGGUCCGUCGUAGAGGGUAACAACCCCGUAGUCGAAACUUCGUUCUCUCUUGAAUGUAUCCUGAGUACGGCGGAACACGUGAAAUUCCGUCGGAAUCUGGGAGGACCAUCUCCCAAGGCUAAAUACUCCCUAGUGAUCGAUAGUGAACCAGUACCGUGAGGGAAAGGUGAAAAGCACCCCGGAAGGGGAGUGAAAGAGAUCCUGAAACCGUGUGCCUACAAAUAGUCAGAGCCCGUUAACGGGUGAUGGCGUGCCUUUUGUAGAAUGAACCGGCGAGUUACGAUCCCGUGC